rnacentral:rRNA from 1 species
ACGCUGGCGGCGUGCCUAAUACAUGCAAGUCGAACGGUCUUUCUAUGGAAGCUUGCUUCCACUGAGAAGAUAGUGGCGAACGGGUGAGUAACACGUGGGUAACCUGCCCAUAAGAGGGGGAUAACAUCCGGAAACGGGUGCUAAUACCGCAUAGUUUUCUUGAUCGCAUGAUCGGGAAAGGAAAGACGGCCUUUGUGCUGUCGCUUAUGGAUGGACCCGCGGCGUAUUAGUUAGUUGGUGAGGUAACGGCUCACCAAGACGAUGAUACGUAGCCGACCUGAGAGGGUGAUCGGCCACAUUGGGACUGAGACACGGCCCAGACUCCUACGGGAGGCAGCAGUAGGGAAUCUUCCGCAAUGGACGAAGUCUGACGGAGCAACGCCGCGUGAGUGAAGAAGGUUUUUCCGGAUCGUAAAACUCUGUUGUCAGAGAAGAACAAGUUGGAGAGUAACUGCUCCAGCCUUGACGGUAUCUGACCAGAAAGCCACGGCUAACUACGUGCCAGCAGCAGC